UAAUAAAUAUUUGAUCACUAAAAAUCUGCCACGUGUGGAAAGGCGGGCUCUGGGUGGCAGACCUCCUUGUUGUGCUGCUCUCUCCAUCCCUGAUAGCUCCUCACUCCAUUGCCUUCCUAUGUGGGGUGUACAUGGGAGUGACUGCAGCAAGAGAAACCAGGAGAGGCUCAGGAUAAAACACACACGAGCCUGGCUUUCAGGGACUUAUUUUAACAGCCCCACUGCAAACGGGUAAACUUGCAUUUUCAAAGAGGUCAUGGAUAUGGCAAGAAGUGAGUGAGUACCAGUGGCUGUGUGUUGAUUAACCAUCACGGCAUCAGAGUUUACACCAACCAACCUGGAAACCCAGCUUUGUGCUCCAUCCCCCACCAGCCUGGAGCCAGCCCCCACUGCAUCCCCAGCAGCCCUGCAGGCAGCAGGCAGCACACACCAGGAAUUAACUGCUGCUGGAGUGAGCCCCAAGACAGCAGCCUCUGUAUAGGGCUCUGCACUCCUGAGGACUCCAGAAGAAUUUCACUGGUUGUAGAGACAGUCACAGGGAUCAAACAUCACACGGCCUGGUCCUGCUGAACAUGCCUGGGCUGCUCUAUCCCUCCAUGACACCGUAGUUAUUCAGAGACAAGGCAAAGAAGGCUCUGCAGUAAGUGCAUUGAAACCGUGAGAUCUUUUGUUGGCUUAUAGUGAGACCUUAAGCAUAUAUUUUCUCUUUAGUGUUCUGCCUUGUCUUUAUCAGACUCAGUAGUUUUCUUCAUGCUGUGACAAUUAAUUGGAUUGUUUUCACUUAAAGAUCUAAGCCCACAUGAUAACUGGAAUGGAACUGAAUUGUUUUCUUUUCUCUGCCCUCUCUCACUGGUAGUUUAACCAAGUGUGAGGCUGCAUUAAGUUUUUAACUAUUUUGUUUCCUUUUUUACUUCUCUCCUACAGAUGAAGAUUGUGCUUAGAUCAUUUUAUUUCAGCAUGAGUUUGCGGUAUAAAAAAAAGUGAAAAGGUUAGUUAAAUAAUUUAAGUUCUCAAUUACUUUGACAGAGAAAAAGGACAAUGAAGGAAAUCUCAGAGAAAGCAGCAGAAAAGGAAAGAAAAUGGCAAUAUGCUUACAUAUUUUGUACUACAAAUGUAGUGUAAAAGGAUAUCUAAUCAAAUUUCUGUGCUGAGAAUUUAAACUGGAAAGACAGCAGCAUCUUUAGCAAGAUCUGCCAGCAACACAGUUUUGUCAUUGUUUGGGAGAGAAGAGAUGACUUCAGAUUUUUGAGGUCUUCAGGAUUUGCAGUGACCUGAAAUGUGAUGUUUCAAGUUAAAAUAAAAGGAACGUGGCUUGUUCAAUUCCAGUCACACUAAUCUCCA